rnacentral:rRNA from 1 species
CGUAGAGAAAUCGAGUCUUAAUAGGGCGUUUAGUUGCUGGGUAUAGACCCGAAACCAGGCGAUCUAUCCAUGAGCAGGUUGAAGGUUGGGUAACACUAACUGGAGGACCGAACCCACUGUCGUUGAAAAGCCAGGGGAUGACUUGUGGAUAGGGGUGAAAGGCUAAUCAAGCCUGGUGAUAGCUGGUUCUCCCCGAAAGCUAUUUAGGUAGCGCCUCGGACGAAUACCAUAGGGGGUAGAGCACUGUUUCGGCUAGGGGGUCAUCCCGACUUACCAAACCGAUGCAAACUCCGAAUACCUAUGAGUACUAUCCGGGAGACAGACUGCGGGUGCUAA